GAUGAACGCUGGCGGCGUGCCUAAUACAUGCAAGUCGAGCGAACAGACGAGGAGCUUGCUCCUCUGACGUUAUCGGCGGACGGGUGAGUAACACGUGUAUAACCUACCUAUCAGACUGGGAUAACUUCGGGAAACCGGAUCUAAUACCGGAUAAUAUAUUGAACCGCAUUGUUCCAUCGUUAAAUUCGGUUUUUCUUUCCCUUAUAGCUUGAUCCGCGCCGCAUUAGCUAGUUGGUAAGGUAACUGCUUACCAAGGCUACGAUGCGUAGCCGACCUGAGAGGGAGAUCGGCCACACGGGAACUGAGAAACGGUACAGACACCUACGGGAGGAAGCAGUAGGGAAUCUUCCGCAAUGGGGGAAAGCCUGACGGAGCAAAGCCGCGUGAGGGAUGAAGGUGUUCGGAUCGUAAAACUCUGUUAUUAGGGAAGAACAAAUGUGUAAGUAACUAUGCACGUAUUGACGGUACCUAAUCAGAAAGCCACGGCUAACUACGUG
rnacentral:rRNA from 1 species